UAAUACGUAGGAUGCGAGCGUUGUCCGGAUUUAUUGGGCGUAAAGAGAACGUAGGUGGUUUCUUAAGUUUGGUCUUAAAGACCGGGGCUCAACCCCGGGAAUGGAUCGAAUACUGGGAGACUAGAGGAUGUUAGAGGAAAGUGGAAUUCCAAGUGUAGCGGUGAAAUGCGUAGAUAUUUGGAGGAACACCAGUGGCGAAAGCGGCUUUCUGGGACAUUCCUGACACUGAGGUUCGAAAGCUCGGGGAGCAAACAGGAUUAGAUACCCUGGUAGUCCGAGCCGUAAACGAUGGACACUAGGUGUCAUGGGUAUCGACCCCCGUGGUGCCGUAGCUAACGCGUUAAGUGUCCCGCCUGGGGAGUACGGUCGCAAGACUG
rnacentral:rRNA from 1 species